UACGUAGGGUGCAAGCGUUAAUCGGAAUUACUGGGCGUAAAGCGUGCGCAGGCGGCUUUGCAAGACAGAUGUGAAAUCCCCGGGCUUAACCUGGGAACUGCAUUUGUGACUGCAUGGCUAGAGUGCGGCAGAGGGGGAUGGAAUUCCGCGUGUAGCAGUGAAAUGCGUAGAUAUGCGGAGGAACACCGAUGGCGAAGGCAAUCCCCUGGGCCUGCACUGACGCUCAUGCACGAAGGCGUGGGGAGCAAACAGG
rnacentral:rRNA from 1 species